GGGGAUGUGGCUCAAUGGGAGAGCGCCUGCUUUGCACGCAGGAGGUUGGCGGUUCGACUCCGCUCAUCUCCA
rnacentral:tRNA from 1 species